rnacentral:lncRNA from 1 species
UGAUAUACUGUGUUCACCAUAAUGAUAUAUACCGGUAUGUGAUAUACUGUGUUCACCGUGUGAUAUAUACCGGUAUGUGAUAGACUGUGUUCACCGUGUGAUAUAUACCGGUAUGUGAUAUACUGUGUUCACCAUAAUGAUAUAUACUGGUAUGUGAUAUACUGUGUUCACCAUAUCAUAUAUACACGAAUGUGAUAUACUGUGUUCACCAUAAUAUAUUUACCGGUAUGUGAUAUACUGUGUUCACCAUAUGAUAUGCACGUGAUAUACAGUGUUCACUAUAUGAUAUGCAUGUCAUAUAAUGUGUUCACCAUAUGAUAUGCAUGUGAUAUACAGUGUUCAUCAUAUGAUAUGCAUGUCAUAUAAUGUGUUCACCAUAUGAUAUGCAUGUGGUGUACAGUGUUCACCAUAUGAUAUGCAUGGGAUACACAGUGUUCACCAUCUGAUAAGUAUGGGAUAUUGUGUUGCACACAUGGUUUUGGCUGGGUCUCCUUCAUGAAGCUGAUGAUAGAUGGACUGUUCCACAGGGGCUUUUCAUGCAAAACCUGACAUGAAGGUAUAGACCUGUGUUGUCCCGACUGAGACCUCGGCCCUGUAUAAUGUCAGUCAGUGUACAUCGGCCGUGAACUCAAGUGUCAAUGAUAUAGAUGAUUAGUGACAUAAAAAUAAAGAAUGAAAAGUUUAAUGAAUCAUAUUGUUGAACUGAUGUUGAAGUGAAUUGUUUCAGCCUAAGUGUCCUUAAGUCAUUCUUGUUAAUGAUGUGACAUUGUGUAUAGUAGCGUAGUAAGUAGUAACAGCUUAUCUUGUACUUGGUCUCGGAAUGUAGAAUUGGGUAGGAAGUUUCCCUGUUUCAAACAAAUGGUCAGUGAUGGCCACCUGACUGAAUGCCGUAUAUCGAGAUGCAAGCAGAGGUCAUCCAAAUUAACAAGAAGCAUUCAGUGUCUUUCCAACCAUGUGCCUAUAACAAAUGUAUACACAUAUUUAUCUAUUUUUAUACAAAUUUGUUAAAAUGAUACUUUUCUGAAAUAUGUACAUUUUUUUAAGAAAGUUCUCCAAACUGGAAGUCCAAUAUAUAAUAACUGUGGAAUAACCUGAACCCCGAUAUAUCUGACCCAUGAUAUAAUCAUUGUCAAGAUAUUUGUCCCCCAAUAUGAUCCUUAUCAAGGUAUCUGAUCCAUGAUAUGAUCUUUGUCAAGAUAUCAGUCCCCCAAUAUGAUAAUUGUCAAGAUAUCUGUUCCCCAAGAUGAUCUUUGCCAAGAUAUCUAAUGCCAAUAUGAUCAUUGUCAUGAUACAUGACCCUGAUAUGAUCCUUGUCCAGUUGACCCCUGAUUUUACCCGUAUACAGAUCUGUGAUGCAUAAUGCAUUCUGUCAUCAUUUGAGAUGUUGCAGUAAAAAGAUAUUCUGAAUUUGGCAUGUAUGAUAAUUUGUUUGCUGUGUAUUGUAAUAGGCAGAGUGAGUCCAUGGAAAAGUGUGAAGAAUGUGAUCAGGGCCCCGUUCCUCAAAGCGAUACGAUCGUAACUCCCAUACUUCAACAUAGACUUACAACAGUCGUAGAGCUAUGAUCGCUUUGAGGAAUGAGGCCCUGGUUAGAGGCUCUUGUGUUCACCUUCUUAUACCUGGGCUUUUAGGUCGCAUGGAGUCAAACCUUUGUGCAAUUAAUAUAGACAGUGCACUGUUUUGAAAAGCUUCAUGACGACAAUUUUGAUUGAAUUAGCCAUGAACAUGAAGCGUUGUCUGAGUGAGACUUUAGGAACUGAUACAUGUUCCCUCCUCCCUGUUAGUGAUAUCAAGCGAUACAUGUUCCCUCCUUCCUGUUAGUGAUAUCAAGUGAUACAUGUUCCCUCCUCCCUGUUAGUGAUAUCAAGCGAUACAUGUUCCCUCCUCCCUGUUAGUGAUAUCAAGCGAUACAUGUUCCCUCCUCCCUGUUAGUGAUAUCAAGCGAUACAUGUUCCCUCCUCCCUGUUAGUGAUAUCAAGUGAUACAUGUUCCCUCCUCCCUGUUAGUGAUAUCAAGUGAUACAUGUUCCCUCCUCCCUGUUAGUGAUAUCAAGCGAUACAUGUUCCCUCCUCCUUGUUAGUGAUAUCAAGCGAUACAUGUUCCCUCCUCCCUGUUAGUGAUAUCAAGCGAUAGUGGCUGGAUGUCAGCUACUGGCUGUUUUGUUGUAACCCAAAGAAUAAGAUGCACUAUUGACCUUUGUGGCCUUGCUUAUUUCUAGGGGCUUCAUCUGUGCUGGACAACACUGUGGUGUGUCCAUAUUGUCAGGGAUACUGACCAUAUGUGUGUUUAUUGAUACUCUUUUAACUUAUCAUAUGUGCUUGAUGCAAUUCCGUCCAUGUGUAUACAGAUAUUAACAUUUAUUUUACAAGUUAGAUAUUUUGUUAUUAUCCAUAAUACCAUGAUGCAAUACUUCUGUUUUAGUAAUCACAUUUCUAAUACUUGCUGUUAGAAAACUGAUUACCAUAUACUGGCUGUUUGUAAAACUGAUUAUCAAGAAUAAAUACAUAUGUUUUUGUAGCCCUCAUAAGUACAUAUUGUUUGACUCAAACAUUUGCCUGGGAUCAUUAGUAAAACAAUCAUGACCAAAUCAGUAGACCCCAUCGGUGCCACAUCAGUGAGCAUAUCCACAGGUCACAUCGGUGCCACAUCAGUGAGCAUAUCCACAGGUCACAUGGGUGCCACAUCAGUGAGCAGAUCAGCAGGUCACAUUGGUGCCACAUCAGUGAGCAGAUCUGCAGGUCACAUUGGUGCAGAUCAGCAUAUCACAUCAGUGAGCAGAUCAGCAGGUCACAUCAGUGCCACAUUAGUGAGCUGAUCAGCAGGUCACAUUGGUGCCACAUCAGUGUGCAGAUCAGCAGGUCACAUCGGUGCCACAUCAGUGAGCAGAUCUGCAGGUCACAUUGGUGCAGAUCAGCAGGUCACAUCAGUGAGCAGAUCAGCAGGUCACAUUGGUGUCACAUCAGUGAGCAGAUCUGCAUGUCACAUCAGUGAG